rnacentral:rRNA from 1 species
GGUUGAUCCUGCCAGUAGUCAUAUGCUUGUUUCAAAGAUUAAGCCAUGCAAGUCUAAGUAUAAGCUUUUAUACGGCAAAACUGCGAAUAGCUCAUUACAACAGUUAUAAUUUACACGACGAUCAUUACUAAAUGGAUAUCCAUGGUAAUUCUGGAGCUAAUACAUGCAAAAACACCCGACUUUACGGAAUGGGUGGCAUUCAUUAGCCUUAGAACCAAUCAGAUAGCAAUAUCUGUCCUUGGUGAUCAUAAUGACCGAGCGGAUCGCAUUUACUGCGACGGUUCGUUCAAGUU